UGCGUAUUUCGCGGCGGCGGAGCUCGACCGCCGAUCGAAGACAUGAUCGCGUUCAUCGACGCUCACCGCGGGCUCUACGGGGUCGAGCCGAUCUGCCGGCAACUGCCGAUCGCCCCG
rfam:Jannaschia aquimarina strain GSW-M26 jaqu_contig000004, whole genome shotgun sequence.